rnacentral:rRNA from 1 species
GGGUUGUGAGGUUAAGCGACUAAGCGUACACGGUGGAUGCCCUGGCAGUCAGAGGCGAUGAAGGGCGUGCUAAUCUGCGAUAAGCGCCGGUAAGGUGAUAUGAACCGUUAUAACCGGCGAUACCCGAAUGGGGAAACCCAGUGUGAUUCGUCACACUAUCAUUAACUGAAUCCAUAGGUUAAUGAGGCGAACCGGGGGAACUGAAACAUCUAAGUACCCCGAGGAAAAGAAAUCAACCGAGAUUCCCCCAGUAGCGGCGAGCGAACGGGGAGGAGCCCAGAGCCUGAAUCAGCAUGUGUGUUAGUGGAAGCGUCUGGAAAGGCGCGCGAUACAGGGUGACAGCCCCGUACACAAAAGCGCAUGUGCUGUGAGCUCGAUGAGUAGGGCGGGACACGUGGUAUCCUGUCUGAAUAUGGGGGGACCAUCCUCCAAGGCUAAAUACUCCUGACUGACCGAUAGUGAACCAGUACCGUGAGGGAAAGGCGAAAAGAACCCCGGCGAGGGGAGUGAAAAAGAACCUGAAACCGUGUACGUACAAGCAGUGGGAGCACAGGUUUACCUGUGUGACUGCGUACCUUUUGUAUAAUGGGUCAGCGACUUAUAUUCUGUAGCAAGGUUAACCGAAUAGGGGAGCCGGAGGGAAACCGAGUCUUAAUUGGGCGUUAAGUUGCAGGGUAUAGACCCGAAACCCGGUGAUCUAGCCAUGGGCAGGUUGAAGGUUGGGUAACACUAACUGGAGGACCGAACCGACUAAUGUUGAAAAAUUAGCGGAUGACCUGUGGCUGGGGGUGAAAGGCCAAUCAAACCGGGAGAUAGCUGGUUCUCCCCGAAAGCUAUUUAGGUAGCGCCUCGUGAAUUCAUCUCCGGGGGUAGAGCACUGUUUCGGCUAGGGGGCCAUCCCGGCUUACCAACCCGAUGCAAACUGCGAAUACCGGAGAAUGUUAUCACGGGAGACACACGGCGGGUGCUAACGUCCGUCGUGAAGAGGGAAACAACCCAGACCGCCAGCUAAGGUCCCAAAGUCAUGGUUAAGUGGGAAACGAUGUGGGAAGGCCCAGACAGCCAGGAUGUUGGCUUAGAAGCAGCCAUCAUUUAAAGAAAGCGUAAUAGCUCACUGGUCGAGUCGGCCUGCGCGGAAGAUGUAACGGGGCUAAACCAUGCACCGAAGCUGCGGCAGCNNUGCUGGAGGUAUCAGAAGUGCGAAUGCUGACAUAAGUAACGAUAAAGCGGGUGAAAAGCCCGCUCGCCGGAAGACCAAGGGUUCCUGUCCAACGUUAAUCGGGGCAGGGUGAGUCGACCCCUAAGGCGAGGCCGAAAGGCGUAGUCGAUGGGAAACGGGUUAAUAUUCCCGUACUUGGUGUUACUGCGAAGGGGGGACGGAGAAGGCUAUGUUGGCCGGGCGACGGUUGUCCCGGUUUAAGCGUGUAGGUGUGUGUUCCAGGUAAAUCCGGUUCACUUUAACACUGAGGCGUGAUGACGAGGCACUACGGUGCUGAAGUAACAAAUGCCCUGCUUCCAGGAAAAGCCUCUAAGCAUCAGGUAACAUCAAAUCGUACCCCAAACCGACACAGGUGGUCAGGUAGAGAAUACCAAGGCGCUUGAGAGAACUCGGGUGAAGGAACUAGGCAAAAUGGUGCCGUAACUUCGGGAGAAGGCACGCUGACACGUAGGUGAAGUGAUUUACUCAUGGAGCUGAAGUCAGUCGAAGAUACCAGCUGGCUGCAACUGUUUAUUAAAAACACAGCACUGUGCAAACACGAAAGUGGACGUAUACGGUGUGACGCCUGCCCGGUGCCGGAAGGUUAAUUGAUGGGGUCAGCGCAAGCGAAGCUCCUGAUCGAAGCCCCGGUAAACGGCGGCCGUAACUAUAACGGUCCUAAGGUAGCGAAAUUCCUUGUCGGGUAAGUUCCGACCUGCACGAAUGGCGUAAUGAUGGCCAGGCUGUCUCCACCCGAGACUCAGUGAAAUUGAACUCGCUGUGAAGAUGCAGUGUACCCGCGGCAAGACGGAAAGACCCCGUGAACCUUUACUAUAGCUUGACACUGAACAUUGAGCCUUGAUGUGUAGGAUAGGUGGGAGGCUUUGAAGUGUGGACGCCAGUCUGCAUGGAGCCGACCUUGAAAUACCACCCUUUAAUGUUUGAUGUUCUAACGUGGACCCGUUACCCGGGUUGCGGACAGUGUCUGGUGGGUAGUUUGACUGGGGCGGUCUCCUCCUAAAGAGUAACGGAGGAGCACGAAGGUUGGCUAAUCCUGGUCGGACAUCAGGAGGUUAGUGCAAUGGCAUAAGCCAGCUUGACUGCGAGCGUGACGGCGCGAGCAGGUGCGAAAGCAGGUCAUAGUGAUCCGGUGGUUCUGAAUGGAAGGGCCAUCGCUCAACGGAUAAAAGGUACUCCGGGGAUAACAGGCUGAUACCGCCCAAGAGUUCAUAUCGACGGCGGUGUUUGGCACCUCGAUGUCGGCUCAUCACAUCCUGGGGCUGAAGUAGGUCCCAAGGGUAUGGCUGUUCGCCAUUUAAAGUGGUACGCGAGCUGGGUUUAGAACGUCGUGAGACAGUUCGGUCCCUAUCUGCCGUGGGCGCUGGAGAACUGAGGGGGGCUGCUCCUAGUACGAGAGGACCGGAGUGGACGCAUCACUGGUGUUCGGGUUGUCAUGCCAAUGGCACUGCCCGGUAGCUAAAUGCGGAAGAGAUAAGUGCUGAAAGCAUCUAAGCACGAAACUUGCCCCGAGAUGAGUUCUCCCUGAGACUU